CUGGGCCACCACUGACGCUGAGAAGCGAAAGCGUGGGGAGCGAACAGGAUUAGAUACCCUGGUAGUCCACGCCGUAAACGUUGGGCGCUAGGUGUGGGACUCAUUUCACGAGUUCUGUGCCGCAGCUAACGCAUUAAGCGCCCCNCCUGGGGAGUACGGCCUCAAGGCUAAAACUCAAAGGAAUUGACGGGGGCCCGCACAAGCGGCGGAGCAUGUGGAUUAAUUCGAUGCAACGCGAAGAACCUUACCAAGGCUGACAUAUACCGG
rnacentral:rRNA from 1 species